rnacentral:misc_RNA from 1 species
AACUUUCAACAACGGAUCUCUUGGCUCGCAUCGAUGAAGAACGCAGCGAAAUGCGAUAAGUAAUGUGAAUUGCAGAAUUCAGUGAAUCAUCGAAUCUUUGAACGCACCUUGCGCUCCCUGGUAUUCCGGGGAGCACGCCUGUUCGAGCGUCGUGAAAUUUCUCAAGCUUGGAUGGAUUUUGUCUGUCCUUAGUUUGGUUGUUGGGCUUUGCCGUGUCCUUCAUUGGAACGGCUGGCCUUAAAAGCAUGAGCUGAUCCUCGUGUGGCACUGGUUCUACUCAGCGUGAUAACAGUCUGAUCGUUGAGGACAUCUUUUGGGAUGGCCGGUCUUCAUUUGGGUUGCUUCUAAACCUGGUUUUUGCAGAUUGUUUCAAUCUGCAUUCCACUUUUCAGCUUUGACCUCGAAUCAGGUGGGACUACCCGCUGAACUUAAGCAUAUCAAUAAGCGGAGGC